rnacentral:misc_RNA from 1 species
AAUUCUCUCGACCCUGGUAUUUGUCCAGGUUCGGAUGUGGAUGUUGUUGGUUUUACUGACUCAUCUUGAAAUUCAUUAGCUGAUCUCUUGGUCUAGCGGACGGUGUGAUAAGUGAAUACUUACGCCGUGUCUCUAAUACCUAAUAGGUCGCUUCUAAUAAAACCCCCCUUUGGGGGUACUUCAUUAUAUUA